AGAGCAUGGAUAGCAGUAACUGUCUCUGAGAAGCCAGCCACUCAAACUUUCCAGGCCCAGAAUCAACAUUUAUUUGGAAAAACUUGUUGUUGUCCAUUUUUUUAAAGAGCUCUAAACUUCCAGUGAGUCUUAUGUAGAUCUAUUUAUAUGCCCAUUUCUUUUUUUUUUUUUUUUUUGAGAUGGAGUCUCGAUCUGUCACCCAGCCUGGAGUAUAGUGGUGCAAUCUCAGCUCAGCUCACCGCAACCUCUGCCUCCCAGGCUCAAGCAAUUCUCCUGCUUCAGCCUCCCCAGUAGCUGGGACUACAGGCGCCUGCCACCACACCCAGCUAAUUUUUGUAUUUUUAAUAGAGAUGGGGUUUUACCAUGUUGGCCAGGCCGGUCACAAACUCCUCACCUCAGGUGAUCCACCAGCCACGGCCUCCCAAAGUGCUGGGAUUAUAAGCAUGAUCCACUGUGCCCAGCCUAUAUGCCCAUUUCAUAGGCAAGAAUACUGAUGCACAGUGCACACCACACUUUACAGGCACAAGAAUGAGCAAGUCUUUGGAGGGUAACUAUUUCUUGUGCGAGAAUCAAAUGUACCUGCUGACACUUCUAGUUUUAUCUCUGGUGACAGCAUGAGUGGCUGAGUGAGCAGGAUGAAUCUUGAGCCUGAGGUGUAGACCAGAGCAGGGGCUUCCAGGUGCUCACACCUCUGGAAAGCAAGAGGAACUGGAACAGUUGGAGUUCAAAAUAGGCUAAAAAAUCUCCUGCCGGUCUUCACAGCAGAAUCUCUGAGUGGAGCACACAGCCAUUUUGAAGUUGACCUACAUGGAUGCCAGGGCUCAAAAAUUCUAAUGUGGCCAAAGAAACCUUCAGAGAACUACAGCAAAUUCAACUGAUAAAUUUGUUCUACUCUAGAAAAGACACUGCCAAAAUUCCAGUCCCUACCUAUCAGGGACCUUGGAUAAGUCCCUUCCCCUGCAUGCAUAUCAUCACAGACCAUCCUCAUAUGGGGGUGGGGGGGUGUCUCUCUCCCCUCUUCAUCUGCCUUCCUACCUCCAGGGGCACACCAAGUCACUGUGAUGACCUCACAAUCAUGCCUGGUGAUUAUGAGGACUUAGUGGGAUGAUGCUCUGGGCAACCACAGGGAUUGCUCACCGGUGACUCAGUGGUUGACUCAAAGGCUAGGGGGUGGUUUGGGGGUAGAGGCAGAGGUCCAGUGAGCUGGGCUCCACCCUUUCUCUCCCUGCAGUCACAACUCCAUUUUUAUCUGUGCUAUAUGUUGGAGUCUAGCCAAGAUGUCAUUUGAACAAAGAUUCUGAAAGAUCAAAGAAAAAAGUUUGAAAACCACCAGGACAAUGCUUUCAGGGGACUUUAUCUAAAAGACUGCAACAAUGUAAAGAGAUAUGAUUGCUUUUAUUACUGUGAUAUGUUUAGAGUAUUAUAAAUUUUUUAAGAGCUUCAUAAGUGACAGAAGUGAAGACAUGCUCAUUUUAAUGUUACCAGUCAACUCUGAGAAGACUAAAGGUCAAGGGACAAUGAAAAUGUGACCCUUACCAAGGACAGAAACUCCCAGGAAGCCACAGUUAACUCAAGACUACCAGGAUAUUUGGGGAAGGUUAUCCUUCUGGAAGACCAAAAUUUCUGAUUUGUGGAAAAUUCUAUAGAUAUUCUCUGCCAGACUCCAGCCUGUUUGAAAGAAAAGAAGCUGUUUUGGAGGUUGGGAAGAGCUUUAGAAAAUGCGGCAUCAAGUCUGUUGUCCCCUUUGAAGAAAGCAGCUCUGGAAAAGGCCUAGGACAUUAGUUGCUGCAAAGUUCUAGAUCAUUCUGUGUGAUAAAGAAGUGCCUUUCACCUCCCACUGUGAUUCUGAGGCCUCCCCAGCCAUGUGGAACUAUUCCAGAAACUUUCACUGUUAUGAAGAUGGCUCUCAGUUUUCCUGCUGGAUUCAGAUUCUCUUCAUGACUUAAAACAACAUGAGGAGGAUGAGUCACAACUGUAAGCUGGUGAAAUGCAGAAAGAACCACCUAGGAAUUCAAAUGUCAGCUUAAGAAAGACAGAAUGGCUUAAAAAUCAAAGAUGAGAUGAAGUGGACUGGGGGUCUCGGGAACACCAAGUCACAAAAUCAGCUUACAGUCAGAGGGAACUUGCAAAUGAUCUGAUUCAAGAUACAAAGAAAGGUUUUAGUUCUUGAGGACUUUUUCCAAAUAAAUAUUUAAGCCAAAGCACAAUAUAAGAAAAAGAUACAAGUGGAACAGCUCCUUCAAGCAGUGGGGGAUGUUAAGGAAAUGCAGGGAAAAUCAGCUGAGAAUCCUCCUUCCCACACCCAAGACUCCUGCAACCUAGCUGAGAGCCACAGAACUGGUCCUCUCUCUCCAGCUGUUCUCCAACAUCCCAGAGCCUUAGGUGGGGCUACACUAAGAGGAAGUCCUCCAAGGAAACUCUCAGGAUUAGACCAGUCUUUUUCUGCUAGUGGUCUUUGAUAAGCCUACAUGGUAAAGAGUGGGAUUCACUCACUUGUCUGUAGGAGAUAUGAUUAUGUCUCAAAGCAUCUCCCCCACCUUCUCACACCCACCCAUUAGAACAGGAUGUUAUCUACAGGCUGAUACUUCCCCGCUCCCUCUACCUCCCUUCUAAUACAUGGCACCAAGACACUGCCUAGGACCUAACAAGUGAUUAGCCCCUCCUUCUCCAAGACAUUCCCCUCUUCCUUUUUCUCUUUUAAGCCCAGAGGGCCUGACCCUCUAAUGCCUGUCCCAGGCCACUCUCUCCCUCCAGGAGCCUGCCAAGUUGAACACGAAGUCCUACCACCCCUGCCCUCAACACAGACUUCUCCAAAACAAGUCCACAAACACCAUUCAGGAUGAUUCCUGCUAAGACCCACAGGGUGGGAGUGAUAAAAUUUCCAGUAACAUCUACCAUGAUAUUACUUACAAUCCUAAAAGAGGAAAUGUUCUAUAUUACAUAAAAUAUGUCCAAGGUCCUCCUACAAGUAUGAGUGAAUCCGUGCCUGGUUCUUCUUUGUCUUCUGAUCCUGCCACCUCAUCCCUGUCGUCAUGUGUCUAAGUUUUGCUUUAGAAGCCACCCUCGGUCAAACCUUCACUCUCUUACACAAUGAGCUGGACAUCCUCAGUUUCCCCUUCAUGCUAAAAGUAAGCCCCAUGUUUUGUGCACGUGCCCACACCAUUUCCUCAAGUUCUUGCUCCUAAAGGUAACAGGGGCUGGGUAAGGCACUUACUGCAGAGAUCAAAGGAGACUCGUUCACACCCAGGAGGAGGAAUAUUCUUCCUGUACUACCCCAUUUAACCCUGUCCCCUCAACCCAGAGGUGUCCUCACUGUCCAGCAAGUGCUUCGGGCCUGCAGUUCCGCUGUUACCCUAUUUUGAAUCUCGUAGGCGUGGAAGCAUGGGUUGGCAGGGAGGGGCAGGAAGGUUUGCCCGCCAGAAGAAGAAACGAGCGUGUCAGUAUGUGUGUGUGAGCGCCGCAAUGACAGUGCUGCCGCCACUGCUAUUGCAUGUGCUGGGUCUUUGAAUGUGGCAUCUGUCAGGGCUCAGUGAGGAUGACAGAUGUCUCUCUGCUUUAGGAACAAACAACACAGGCCUGUAGGGUGACAAAAACAGCCUCAGCCCAACCAGAGCAGAGACGUGCAGUUCUCUGGGAAUAAUCAGAAGACAGCAGUGUAGGAGUCCAGAGUCUACCACACACCUGCUCCCCUAAAAAAGCAUGUUCUCAUUAUGAAACCUUAGAAGGCAGCUCCCACGCCAGGGACAAGUAUGAGGGAGCCUGUGUGGCCUCAUUCAUUACCAGAUGAACCAUUCAUUCAGGGAAGUCUUGAGGCAUGUCCAGGAAACGGCACCCCAAAGACUCAGUUAACCCACAGGGUGAGUGCCCAUGGAGAUGGGAGCUCUGGGGGUGACACUGUUGAGCCAGUGGAUCAAGCUUCACCCUGAGUCAACCCUAAUUCUGUGCUUUUCAAAUAAAUGAGCCAUUCAAUUUUCCUGCUCAUUUCUGUAUCCCCAGCACCUAGAACAGUGCCUGGCACACAGUAGGUGCCUAGUGGACAUUUGCUGAAAGAACAAACGAAUGCCAAGGCAAAAAAGGGGGGUGAGAGGCAAAGAUGUAUAAAAAAAGAACUAAGCAGAGCAAAAUGAUAAGAAGAAUGUUAAUAAUAUGAACCACAAAGACAGGAAAGUCAUCUGAUCUCAAUACACAAGAGUAUGAACUCAUUAUGGAUGCUGAAUUAUACUAGUGAUAGUUUAAAUAUUUCUUGGAACUGAAUAUGCACAUAAGAAGAGGCCAUCCCAGGCUUAAAUGGGUGCACAUUCUUGUCUUGGAGAAAAGGAAGAAAAAUAUAUAAAGCAAUAGGUACAAUACAAUGCAAUAGAUGUUCUAGAACAAAGGCCUGGAGCUAUGAUUCCAGGGCAGCCUGCAAAGAUCUCCCAUUGGAGCUGAUGAUUAGCAGGCCUUGAAGCAAGGAUGGAAGCCUGGCAAGAGGCAGGUCAGUCAUCGCAGGCAGGGAUGACUGCUUCCAAGAACUGUGUCUUCUGUGAGCCCAGGGGCCAGAGAGCUGCUGGGUUUCCCAGUCUUUCCAGGCUAUGGCCAAACUGAUGAAGCCAUCCUUGUUUCAGUCUCUGAUUCCUUCAGAGAAGAAGAAAGAGUUGAGUCUAGCAGAGUCUCAUUCUGCCUGGACCCCUGCAGUACCAGGAGAGCACUCCCUCCGCAUGCCACUCUAAACAGAAAUACUCCCCGGAGCACCUGGGGCGACCGGCAUCCUCCGCACUUCCAAGGCCUUCCCAAUUUUGCUUACUUCUUCUCAUCUUCCCAUUCACUUCCCAGAUAUGUUUCUCGGGUCUCCAAAGGGAAACUCAGGGGAGAAACUGAGUCAACCUACUUUGAGUGUCCUUUCCUACCUGGCCCUUUCCACAGCACUCAGCCCAGAAGAGGUGCUCUGGGUGAAACAAAGGAGCAGUCGGAAUCUCUGCAGGCCACAGGGAGGGAGGGACGGGUAGAAUCAAGGAGUGGGGCACUAGCACGGAGGCCUGAGCCUCCUCACUGCCAGGAUGAGGGAGCCGCAAUGAUCUGGGGUCCUGGUAGCUCUGGGAGCCUCUGAAUGAGUGACCCUGGGGCUCUCAGAAGUACUAGGUCAAGGUGCCCUGGUGGACACAGCUGGGCUUAGUCAUCAAGACAUGGGUACAAACCUCAGCUCAGUCACCUUCCAGCUGUUUAAGUCCGAAAGUCAUUUAAUCUCUCUAAGCAUAGAUGUUCUCAUCUACGAAAGGACUAUAAUGCUUGUCUUGCAGGGAUGUUGUUAGAAUUACAUGUGAUGAGGUUUAAAUUGCUCCUAGUACAGAAUAGGCAAUUGGUAAAUGGUAACUCUUUUAACUACUAUUAGUGUAGUAUUAUCAUGAUCGUCAUCAUCAUCAUCAUCGGGGCAGACAAAUCUCAGACCAGGCCUGAGAAUUCCCAACUCUGAAUUCAGAGGCUUUUGCUCCAGCGACAGAAAUGAGAAGGUAAGGCCUAAAGUAGAACAGGACUAGAGGAGGCCCUGAACAGUGCUGGGCGCCCAAACAGGGGACUUCCUCCCAGGGAGGCCUCUGUGCCACCGGCCUGGAGUCUCAUCAUCACCGCCAGCAACAGGGUGACUGGCUGCCCCCUGGAUUUUCUGUGAGCAAAGAACAGGAGGGCAGAGCAGGAAAGCCCGGGAACUAAUGAGAUUCAGAGAGCUUGAAAAUUAGAGGUGCACGAAAGGAGUUUCCGCCUAAUGGCUCUGACACCUCCCACUCCCACUGCAGAGUCACUGCAAGGAGGCGAGUGCAGGAGCAAGAGGGGAUCCGUAGGUCUGCUGGUCCAGGUCACUGCUCUCUCCAGGAGCAGUGGCUCCAGUUGGGAGUGGCCCAGGGUCUUUCUGCGGCCUGGCAGGACAGGGUGGCCACUGCCCGUGGCUGGCCCAGAAGAGUCCACCUUGUGGGUCAAGAGCUGCCCAGGCUGAUAUGUGCCUUAAAAAGCGGGGAUGAAAGCCAGGCAGUGUACAGCAAACCCAGGCACCUCCUCAGCCAUGCAAAUGGGAGCUGGUGACAUGGGCUCAGGAACUGCCGCUUCUGACCCAGCCCAGGCAAAUGUGGCCCAAUUCUCUGUUCCCUUGGAGCUGAGCCCACUUGUAGCCAUGCCAGGCCCGGAGUCUCCCUCAGUGGCUGCUGGCAGUUGAUCGCAGCUGCCCUCAGAGCCUCAGCUGCCUCUCCUGUGCUGCGUCCUCCCUAACGGGCUUUCAGAUUGGUUGUC